UACGUAGGGAGCAAGCGUUUGUCCGGAAUCAUUGGGCGUAAAGCGCGCGUAGGCGGCCCCGUAAGUCCGCUGUGAAAGUCAAAGGCUCAACCUUUGAAAGCCGGUGGAUACUGUGGGGCUAGAGUCCGGAAGAGGAGAGUGGAAUUCCGUGGUGUAGCGGUGAAAAUGCGCAGAUAUCAGGAAGAACACCCGUGGCGAAGGCGGCUCUCGUGGGACGGUACUGACGCUGAGACGCGAAAGCGUGGGGGAGCGAACAGG
rnacentral:rRNA from 1 species